rnacentral:tRNA from 1 species
CAAAAAGUAGUAUAUAAUUACAACUCGCUUACACCGAGUAAAAGGUACCACAACCCUUUUUGA